ACGAAAAAAACUUUUUUGGCGCCGCACAUUAUUAAAAUUUCUUUAUGACAAGCGAGUCGGGCCAAAAGCAAAAGCAAGUUUGGCUGGCUGGAGUGUAGUGAAGUGGUGUGGGCCAAAGUGGAGGAGCUCCUCCAAAGAGCCGGUCCAAAGAGUCAUCAACAGCCACAGCAAACGACGACAAAAGGCAUAAAAACUGUUUUAGCAUAAAUUAACAUAAGAUUUAUGGCCGCUCCACUUGAAAAUGAGACGAAACCAGAGAGGCCGUAAAGUUGCUCUGCGCUUAACAAGUGAAUGAAAAAGUUUCGGGUUUUUAGGAUAUUUCUGGAGGAGAGAAAAGCCCUGCUUUUCCGCUUUGCUAUGGAAUUUAAUGCGGACUUUUUCCCACACAGCACGUGUUUUUGGCAACGGCAACACUACGCAGCCGGAAAUAGUAAAAAGGAAAAACUUCCAGAUCAACUGGCACUUCUUUUCAGCCAGUCUGCUCUUAUUUAACUUGACAACUUUGCAGCCGUCUGGGUCCCUUCUUCUUUUUUCUUACCCCGACCAACCAAAAAUGGGACUUUUUCUUUCUUGACCAUACACAAAACAAGCGCCAAUCAAGGAGACAUCAAAACCGUAACGAAAAACUCGUUUUUAAUUAAAGGCAUCUUUAAAUCGCCUUGUUUUUAAUUCGUUCCGAUUUCUUAUGGAUAUUUUACUUGCCAAUAAAUGCUCUGAUCAUCGUACCGAUGAUUAUCACAAAUGAUUUGUGUCCCAUUUAAUUGACGAUGGGGCGAGAUGUGAAAUUAUGAAAUGC